rnacentral:rRNA from 1 species
AACGCUAGCGGCAGGCUAACACAUGCAAGUCGAGGGGUAACAGGAGUAGCAAUACUCGCUGACGACCGGCGCACGGGUGAGUAACGCGUAUGCAACCUACCUUUAACUGGGGCAUAGCUCCGAGAAAUCGGGAUUAAUACCCCAUAAUGUUACAAUUUCGCAUGUUAUUGUAACUAAAACUCCGGUGGUUAAAGAUGGGCAUGCGUGUCAUUAGCUUGUUGGUGAGGUAACGGCUCACCAAGGCUACGAUGACUAGGGGGUCUGAGAGGAUGAUCCCCCACACUGGUACUGAGACACGGACCAGACUCCUACGGGAGGCAGCAGUGAGGAAUAUUGGUCAAUGGGCGAAAGCCUGAACCAGCCAUGCCGCGUGCAGGAUGACAGCCCUAUGGGUCGUAAACUGCUUUUAUACGGGAAGAAACCCCUGAUCGUGAUCGGGGCUGACGGUACCGUAAGAAUAAGGAUCGGCUAACUCCGUGCCAGCAGCCGCGGUAAUACGGAGGAUCCUAGCGUUAUCCGGAUUUAUUGGGUUUAAAGGGUGCGUAGGCGGAAUAAUAAGUCAGUGGUGAAAUCCUGCAGCUUAACUGUAGAAUUGCCAUUGAUACUGUUAUUCUUGAAUGCAGUUGAGGUAGGCGGAAUGUGUAAUGUAGCGGUGAAAUGCUUAGAUAUUACCCAGAACACCGAUUGCGUAGGCAGCUUGCUAAACUGUGAUUGACGCUGAGGCACGAAAGCGUGGGUAGCAAACAGGAUUAGAUACCCUGGUAGUCCACGCCGUAAACGAUGAUUACUCGAUGUGUGCAAUAUAUCGUACGCGUCUGAGCGAAAGCAUUAAGUAAUCCACCUGGGGAGUACGGGCACGCAAGGUUGAAACUCAAAGGAAUUGACGGGGGCCCGCACAAGCGGAGGAACAUGUGGUUUA